rnacentral:rRNA from 1 species
GACGAACGCUGGCGGCGUGCUUAACACAUGCAAGUCGAACGGUAAGGCCCUUCGGGGUGAGUGGCAGACGGGUGAGUAACGCGUGGGAACGUGCCCUUCAGUUCGGAAUAACCCAGGGAAACUUGGGCUAAUACCGGAUACGUGCGAGAGCAGAAAGAUUUAUCGCUGAAGGAUCGGCCCGCGUCUGAUUAGCUAGUUGGUGAGGUAAUGGCUCACCAAGGCGACGAUCAGUAGCUGGUCUGAGAGGAUGAUCAGCCACAUUGGGACUGAGACACGGCCCAAACUCCUACGGGAGGCAGCAGUGGGGAAUAUUGGACAAUGGGCGCAAGCCUGAUCCAGCCAUGCCGCGUGAGUGAUGACGGCCUUAGGGUUGUAAAGCUCUUUCGUCCGGGAAGAUAAUGACGGUACCUGGAAAAGAAGCCUCGGCUAACUCCGUGCCAGCCGCCGCGGUAA